AGAGUUUGAUCCUGGCUCAGGAUGAACGCUAGCUACAGGCUUAACACAUGCAAGUCGAGGGGAAACGACAUCGAAAGCUUGCUUUUGAUGGGCGUCGACCGGCGCACGGGUGAGUAACGCGUAUCCAACCUGCCCACCACUUGGGGAUAACCUUGCGAAAGUAAGACUAAUACCCAAUGACGUCUCUAGAAGACAUCUGAAGGAGAUUAAAGAUUUAUCGGUGAUGGAUGGGGAUGCGUCUGAUUAGCUUGUUGGCGGGGUAACGGCCCACCAAGGCGACGAUCAGUAGGGGUUCUGGAGAGGAAGGUCCCCCACAUUGGAACUGAGACACGGUCCAAACUCCGUACGGGACGGCA
rnacentral:rRNA from 1 species